rnacentral:rRNA from 1 species
GGGUUUCACCAGAAGUAGGUAGCCUAACCGCAAGGAGGGCGCUUACCACGGCGGGAUUCAUGACUGGGGUGAAGUCGUAACAAGGUAGCCGUAGGUGAACCUGCAGAAGGAUCA